rnacentral:rRNA from 1 species
AUUGAACGCUGGCGGCAUGCUUUACACAUGCAAGUCGAACGGUAACAGGGUGCUUGCACCGCUGACGAGUGGCGAACGGGUGAGUAAUGCGUCGGAACGUGCCGAGUAGUGGGGGAUAACGCAGCGAAAGUUGUGCUAAUACCGCAUACGUACUGAGGUAGAAAGUGGGGGACCUUCGGGCCUCACGCUAUUCGAGCGGCCGACGUCUGAUUAGCUAGUAGGUGAGGUAAAGGCUCACCUAGGCGACGAUCAGUAGCGGGUCUGAGAGGAUGGUCCGCCAAGCUGGGACUGAGACACGGCCCAGACUCCUACGGGAGGCAGCAGUGGGGAAUUUUGGACAAUGGGCGAAAGCCUGAUCCAGCCAUGCCGCGUGUCUGAAGAAGGCCUUCGGGUUGUAAAGGACUUUUGUCAGGGAGGAAAUCCCUAGUGCUAUACCGCUGGGGGAUGACAGUACCUGAAGAAUAAGCACCGGCUAACUACGUGCCAGCCGCCGCGGUAACAC